rnacentral:rRNA from 1 species
GUCCACGCCGUAAACGAUGUUCACUCGCUGUUUGCGAUACACAGCAAGCGGCCAAGCGAAAGCAUUAAGUGAACCACCUGGGGAGUACGAUCGCAAGGUUGAAACUCAAAGGAAUUGACGGGGGCCCGCACAAGCGGAGGAACAUGUGGUUUAAUUCGAUAAUACGCGAGGAACCUUACCUGGGCUUAAAUGUAGAGCGACAGAUUGUGAAAGCAGUCCUUCUUCGGACGAUCUACAAGGUGCUGCAUGGUUGUCGU